GAUUUAUUAGAUCAAAACCAACCGGCUCUGCCGUUGGCUUGAUGACUCUGGAUAACUUUUCUGAUCGCACGGCCUAGCGCCAGCGACGUAUCUUUCAAAUGUCUGCCUUAUCAACUUUCGAUGGUAGAUUAUGCGCCUACCAUGGUUGUAACGGGUAACGGAGAAUCAGGGUUUGAUUCCGGAGAGGGAGCCUGAGAAACGGCUACCACAUCCAAGGAAGGCAGCAGGCACGCAAAUUACCCACUCCCGGCACGGGGAGGUAGUGACGAAAAAUAACAAGCUGGUCUCAAUGAGUUCCAGCAUUGUAAUGGGAACAAUUUAAAUCUUUUAUCGAGGAUCUAUUGGAGGGCAAGUCUGGUGCCAGCAGCCGCGGUAAUUCCAGCUCCAAUAGCGUAUAUUAAAGUUGUUGCGGUUAAAAAGCUCGUAGUUGGAUCUAGGAUUAGGGCUACGGUCGUUCAGCUUGGACGUACUGUAUGCCCGACUCCUUUUCUCUAGUAUUCGAUUGUUGCUCUUAAAUGAGUGACUUUAGUUGCUGGAACUUUUACCUUGAAAAAAUUGAAGUGCUCAAAGCAGGUU
rnacentral:rRNA from 1 species